CCUACGGGUGGCAGCAGUGAGGAAUAUUGGUCAAUGGGCGUAAGCCUGAACCAGCCAAGCCGCGUGAGGGAUGAAGGUUCUAUGGAUCGUAAACCUCUUUUAUAAGGGAAUAAAGUGCGGGAUGUGUCCCGUUUAGGAUGUACCUUAUGAAUAACGAUCGGCUAACGCCAUGCCAGCAGCCGCGGUAAUACGGAGGAUCCGAGCGUUAUCCGGAUUUAUUGGGUGUAAAGGACGCGUAGGCGGCCUUUUAAGUCAGCGGUGAAAGUCCGUGGCUCAACCAUGGAAUUGCAGUUGAAACUGGUAGGCUUGAGUAUCGUAGAGGGAGGCGGAAUGCGUGGUGUAGCGGUGAAAUGCUUAGAUAUAACGCAGAACCCCGAUUGCGAAGGCAGCUUGC
rnacentral:rRNA from 1 species